rnacentral:rRNA from 1 species
UUUUCUAUAUCUGAAACGUGACGCUGCGAAGGUCUCCUAAAACAGUUAUAGUUUAUUCGAUGAUGUUUUGUUAUUUGGAUACCGAUUGUACUUCUUGCGGCGAAUACGUGAACUCGAGAGGUACAACUGACAAGUGUUUCUCUGUAUUUAUUACACUGAAAGCUGUUGCAGCAACAAUAGUGGCCGCUGCUUGACUGACAAUAACUCUGACCCUUCUCAUCGCCUUGUGCCCACAACUAUUCCUGCAAGUUGCCGACCUAUCGUUUCAAGGAGGUGAUGAACUCGGACCACCUUGACUAGGACGGGAACCGAGAAUUAGGGUUGGAUGACGGAGAGCGAGACUGAGAAACCGCUACUACUUCCGAUGACCGCAGCGUGACCCCAAAUUAGCCUCUCUCUAUAGAAGGAGGUAGUGAAGUAUCCUGAUCUGUCCCGAGCUUGCUAAAGAGCUUGUGAGUUGGAAUGAGAGCUGUGUCUGUACCUUAACGAGGAACCCGU